rnacentral:rRNA from 1 species
AUUCCUACGGGAGGCAGCAGUGGGGAAUAUUGGACAAUGGGCGAAAGCCUGAUCCAGCAACGCCGCGUGAGGGAUGACGGCCUUCGGGUUGUAAACCUCUUUCAGCAGGGACGAAGCGAAAGUGACGGUACCUGCAGAAGAAGCACCGGCCAACUACGUGCCAGCGGCCGCGGUAAUACGUAGGGUGCGAGCGUUGUCCGGAAUUAUUGGGCGUAAAGGGCUCGUAGGCGGUUUGUCGCGUCGGGAGUGAAAACUCAGGGCUUAACCCUGAGCCUGCUUCCGAUACGGGCAGACUAGAGGUAUGCAGGGGAGAACGGAAUUCCUGGUGUAGCGGUGAAAUGCGCAGAUAUCAGGAGGAACACCGGUGGCGAAGGCGGUUCUCUGGGCAUUACCUGACGCUGAGGAGCGAAAGUGUGGGGAGCGAACAGGAUUAGAUACCCUGGUAGUCCACACCGUAAACGUUGGGCGCUAGGUGUGGGACUCAUUCCACGAGUUCCGUGCCGCAGCUAACGCAUUAAGCGCCCCGCCUGGGGAGUACGGCCGCAAGGCUAAAACUCAAAGGAAUUGACGGGGGCCCGCACAAGCGGCGGAGCAUGCGGAUUAAUUCGAUGCAACGCGAAGAACCUUACCUGGGUUUGACAUAUGGAGAAAACUGUCAGAGAUGGCAGGUCCGUAAGGGCUCUAUACAGGUGGUGCAUGGCUGUCGUCAGCUCGUGUCGUGAGAUGUUGGGUUAAGUCCCGCAACGAGCGCAACCCUCGUCUUAUGUUGCUACGAAAGGGCACUCUAAUGAGACUGCCGGUGACAAACCGGAGGAAGGUGGGGAUGACGUCAGGUCCUCAUGGCCCUUAUGGGUAGGGCUACACACGUCAUACAAUGGCCGGUACAGAGGGCUGCCAACCCGCGAGGGGGAGCCAAUCCCAGAAAACCGGUCGUAGUCCGGAUCGCAGUCUGCAACUCGACUGCGUGAAGUCGGAAUCGCUAGUAAUCGCGGAUCAGCUUGCCGCGGUGAAUACGUUCCCGGGCCUUGUACACACCGCC